GACGAACGCUGGCGGCGUGCUUAACACAUGCAAGUCGAACGGAAAGGCUCCAGCUUGCUGGAGUACUCGAGUGGCGAACGGGUGAGUAACACGUGGGUAAUCUGCCCUGCACUCUGGGAUAAGCCUGGGAAACUGGGUCUAAUACUGGAUAUGACCUUUCUCCUUAUGGGGUUUGGUGGAAAGUUUUUCGGUGUAGGAUGAGCCCGCGGCCUAUCAGCUUGUUGGUGGGGUGAUGGCCUACCAAGGCGACGACGGGUAGCCGGCCUGAGAGGGUGAUCGGCCACAUUGGGACUGAGGUACGGCCCAGACUCCUACGGGAGGCAGCAGUGGGGAAUAUUGCACAAUGGGCGGAAGCCUGAUGCAGCGACGCCGCGUGAGGGAUGACGGCCUUCGGGUUGUAAACCUCUUUCAGCAGGGACGAAGCGUAAGUGACGGUACCUGCAGAAGAAGCACCGGCUAACUAUGUG
rnacentral:rRNA from 1 species